AUAGUACUCCCUCCGUCCGGAAAUACUUGUCCGAGGAAUGAAUGUAUAUAGAUGUAUUUUAAUAUUAGAUACAUUCAUUUAUGUCCAUUUCUUCGAUAUGUAUUUCCGGACUGAGAGAGUAAAUA
rfam:Triticum aestivum genome assembly, contig: Triticum_aestivum_CS42_TGACv1_scaffold_556563_7AL